CACUGAGAAGCUAUAAGGACGAGCUUUAGCCUUUUAAGCUAAAAAGAGGUGAUUACCGCCCACCCUUGGUGA
rnacentral:tRNA from 1 species